GCCUGGCUGGCUCAGUCCAUAGAGCAUGCAACUCUCAAUCUCAGGGUCGUGAGUUCAAGCCCCACGUUGGGUG
rnacentral:tRNA from 1 species